rnacentral:rRNA from 1 species
GAUGAACGCUGGCUACAGGCUUAACACAUGCAAGUCGAGGGGAAACGACGGGGAAGCUUGCUUCCCCGGGCGUCGACCGGCGCACGGGUGAGUAACGCGUAUCCAACCUGCCUCUGACUGAGGUAUAACCCGUCGAAAGUCGGCCUAAUACCUCAUGGCAUCGUCUGCGGGCAUCCAACGACGAUUAAAGAUUUCAUCGGUCAGAGAUGGGGAUGCGUCUGAUUAGCUUGUUGGUGGGGUAACGGCCCACCAAGGCGACGAUCAGUAGGGGUUCUGAGAGGAAGGUCCCCCACAGUGGAACUGAGACACGGGCCAAACUCCUACGGGAGGCAGCAGUGAGGAAGAUUGGUCAAUGGGCGAGAGCCUGAAUCAGCCAAGUAGCGUGCAGGAUGACGGCCCUAUGGGUUGUAAACUGCUGUUAUGCGGGGAUAAAGUGAGGGACGUGUCCUUCAUUGCAGGUACCGCAUGAAUAAGGACCGGCUAAUUCCGUG